UUCGCAAAGCUCAACCACAUUUAUUAUUACAUUAUGUACUUUGCGUGCGUCUGGAAAGCCUACACGGUGAGCUCACCUGUAUGGAGGGGCCCCAGAUCUUGUGUUGUGUUGGGUUGCGGUGUGUGCUGUAGUUGUAGAAUGACUCUCAAUUUCAUAAUAGCUUCACAGCACAAAUAUUGUGACGCCGUUUACCUUCAAGACUCUUGGAGCUUGGACUCCAAUUUUAUUAUACACAACAUUUUAGCAGUAUUCGUGGAGUCGUUUUGAAAACUUGUUGCUCAGGCACCAUUCUUGCUGCGUGUGCCGAAGAGUGUUGUUGGCCCCAAACACAAAGAAAUCUGCGUUGCGGCAUAAGAAUUUUUCCACAUAUAACUUUAAGAAAAGAUUCUUUUGCUUCGGUGGCAGUGAUUUAAUUUGUUUCUUGAGGACAAUGCAGAGGGUGCAAUCUAGUGCUGAAGUGUGCUUAUAAAGUGAUCUCAGCUGCGUGUAAGAUGCAAGCCAUCUGAAAUGGUCAGUUCGUGGGGAUGAUGAUCUCCUCCGUCAACAGCACAAGUUCUCUCUGGUUGAUAAUGAUCUGGAUGACGAUUCUACUCUUCUGCACCCCCUUCAUCUUCAUGGUGGCCAUCUGCCUGCCAGAGUUGCCACUUUUAAUCCUCAGACGGGUCUACUCUAUACCCUUUGAGGCCAUCUAACCACCCACCCACAUAUGCACCAUCCGCGGGAGCCCCCACCACCCAGGUGGGGGAGAUAUAACUAUAGAAAAAAAAUGUGCCAUAAAACGCUGUGGCAUUGAAUUCAAUUUAUUCCACCAAGAAAAUUGUUAAUUUGUGUUUUAUGUCGCUUUUUUGUGUUGGGGAUUCUUACAAAGCGUCUGUGACUCGCUAAAACAAGCUUUAAGAGCUUUUUUUCUCUUCAUUACCACUAUACAUUCUUAACUCCACACGAUCAAUUUGCUGGAGAUCAUCGACGUUAAAGAAACUUCCCUCCAUCUGUGGUAAGAUGUCAUGAAUAAUUAAUUUAAUAUACCUACUGUAAUACAGUGUAGUGUUGAGCAUUGUGUAGUGCUAUUAAAGAAAAAAAAAAAGACAAACAUAAAGCAUGGGAUCUGAUGAAUUUUCUGCACACAAAAAGGUGGCAGAAAGAGAGCAAGAAAACCUUGAAGAGUCAAACACAAUAGGAAGUUUUGGGAAUUUCGCAAAAAAACCUCAAUUUUAAUUGAAAGGUAAAACUAAAAUAUUUGCAUAAUUUAAAGAAAAAGUGUGGCAAUCACAUUGAAGAAAAAAAUAAACAAAGUCAGCAAUAAAAACAUUAAAAAUGUGAAAAAAUGUUCUAUUUGGGUUAAGCUAAUAGAACAAACGUGUAAGCAGUGCAAUAGUUUAAUACAACACUGAUAUUUCUAUGGAAUCACUUAUGUAUGAAAAAAAUUGAUAUUAGUAACUCGUUUUACCUCACAGAGUGAAUCUAAUCGAAUUCUAAUUGGUAUUAUACCGACUUAUUUAAAAAAAAAAAAAUUCUUGAAUUUCAUACCAAAUAACAAUUUAAUUGACUUAAAAUUUAACUCAAAAUCUUGGCAAAUAAUCUCUCUAUUGAUAUAAAUAUAAAAAUAAUGUAAUAGAUUUAUUACGUAUAAUUACAGAGAAAAAAAUGCAUCUAGUAAUAAAAUGAUACACCAAUAAAGUAAUUAAAUACCUGUACCGGUAUAUAGUCUUAAAAUGGGUUGAAGCAAAAUGUGAGAAAUUUGUAUACAUCGACAUAAAACCACGUUGAGGAUGUUUUGAAAUUUUGCAUUUGGUGAAAAUGUGUCGAAAGUUUUGCUCUUUACGAAAUUUCGUCUCUCUGUGCACCCAUCAGGGAACACGAUCACUUCCAAACAAUUUGUAGAAAUUUAAAUGAAAUUUUGUACUGUGAAAGAAAGAUGAAAGAUUGAAAAUAUAUUUUAGGAAAAUUAUUUUAAAAGUGAAAUAAAAUAUUUUGUCAAAGUAA